UGAGGCAUAGGAAGAGUUACAAAAAAAUCCAUAUAAAAUCAUAAGAGGGGACAUAUCUGGGGGCAAAAAAGAAAAGGAAAAAUAGAUCUAGAAAAGAUCUUCUUCUCUAAGAAGAAAGGAACGAAACAGAGGGAUAAAGAGGGCCUGGGAUUAGCUUAAUUUUAGCCGCAAAAAUCAGCUCCUUGCUCCUCCAAAAUACCUGUAAACCAGCCUCUCUUGCCCGUAAAACCAACUCCAAAUAACCACCAAAUUUCACCAACCUUUAGUAGCUUGUUCUCCAUUGAAACCAACUUCAAAAAGCUCUUCAAACACUGCAGAAAACGCAUCAGCAGUUCUAGCAAAACGCAACAGCGAUCGGCUUCUCAAAUUCCAUUUCCGAAAUCAGUUUCGAAGUCUUGUAAAUGCAGUUCCGCUAAUUCACUGCCUAGCCGGCGUUUCACCGGAGUUACGCCAUAUCCGGCCAGUUUUCUUUCACUAUAAAUGCAGCAGCUCUAUCCCCACUAACCGUUGUUGUUCUCUUAAGUUUGAACUCAGUCCGUCAAGGUCGUCGAGGUACCCCGGCCCGAUGUUUCCGUUUGGUUGAUGAUUCGGGUAGUGUUCGAAUUAUAUCGAUACUCUCCUCCUUGAUGUAUUCAAAGAGAUUCAAUAUUAGCCAAUUUUUCAAGCUUCUGUUCGUUUAAAGGUUAGCUUAUGUUUGCUAGUGUUUUUUACAGUACUAUUGCAUUGGUAUGGUCAUCUCUUAGCUAAUUUUUGUUGCUAUCGAUUUUGCAUAUCCAUGUUUAGUUCACAUAGACUAUUUUAUUAUCUUUGGUUUUCAAUAAGUACAUGUUUUCUUUCUUUUGAAUUUAAAAUAUAUAUAUACACGUAUAUAAUUAAAAGGGCUAUGUGAACUGUUAGCCAAAAAUUGAAAAGCUUUGUUAAUUGUUUAAACAUAUCCAUGUUUAUCUCUUCACGUGAAUUAUUUACGUGCUUCACUUAGUUGUCAAAAUUAGUGUCUUUAUUAGCUAGAUUGACAGUUAACCUUUAAGGUGCAAACGGAAACUACAUAGUGUAAAUGACCCUUACGACUUCAAAUAGCUAAAAUCAUAUACUUAUCCCACAAAUAAUUCCUAGUUUAUGGCCUCACAUUAAUCUCAAAUGUAGGAAAUAAUAUUAAAAAGUGUAGUUUCUUUAGGCACGUAAUUUAGAUUUCUUUUCUAAACUCGGGUGUACAUUUAUGUGACUCAAAUCCAAAUUUCAACAACGUUAGAUAAAAUAUGUCGUGGACCGCGGGUGCAUUUAUGUGACGUGGUUCAAAAUAUAUUUUAAAUGACGUUGCAAUUUUCUUUAAAAAUGAAUAAAAGCGGUUAAAGGUUUAAAAUUGCACCGUAGUUUAAAAUAUGUACUAAAAUCAAAUAAUAGGCCAAUUAUAACAGUUGAGCGACCGUGCUAGAACCACGGAACUCGGGAAUGCCUAACACCUUCUCCCGGGUUAACAGAAUUCCUUACCCGGAUUUCUGGUUCGCGGAUUGUUAAACAGAGUCAAUAUUUUCCUCGAUUCAAUUUGAAUCGGUGACUUGGGACACCAUAAAUUAUCCCAAGUGGCGACUCUGAAUUUUUAAUAAAUAAUCUCGUUUCGAUUGUUACUUGAAUUGGAAAAAACUCCCUUAUACAUAUCCUUCCGAGAUGUAGGUAAAAAGGAGGUGUGACACCUUCGUCAGGCGUGCGAUAAAUACAUGUGUGUAUUCCUCACACGACGUUACGUUUUGAAAGUUGUUCAUAAUUCAGCAAAGGUGAUUAUAUACAAUUACAAUAUCAUACCACUUAAAUAUAAUUGAUUGAGAUUUUUACAUUCCUAUAGACUAUAUGAAACUAUAUUACUCUCCCUACUCAAGUUUUAAUAUAAUUAUAUUUUAUAUACCCAAUUACCAUUUAUGUACAUUUUAAGGGAAUUAAUGAUAAUAAUUAGUGUACUAAAAUUACUCUAACAUAUCUUCCACUCCUCUAUGUGUCUCUCUCCACAUCUCAUCCCCCUCAUCCAUGUAUCUUGCACCCACUCACGAUUUCACCAUUGACAAACAUUAAAAAGUUUUGAAGCUUUGAAUUCGAAUUUGGGUUUUCAAAAUAAUUAUUUGUUUGAAUUGGAUGUUGUUGCAAAGAAUUGGGAAUUCUCUCCACGUCUCUCUCUAUCUCUCAAUCCCUAAUUUCAGUAAUGUAAAGCAAAGGAAAAUAGAGUAGCAAUUCCACCAUUGACAGCCAUUAACAAGCUUUGAAGCUUUGAAUUCGAAUUUGGAUUUUCAAAAAUUAUUAUUUGUUUGGAUUGGGUGUUGUUGCAAACAAUUGGGAAUAUGGUUUGGAGUUUAUAUCUCAAUUUUGAGGGAUUUUGGUAAAGAUUAAACUUGGUUUUGGCUGAAUUUCAGAUUGAAACUCGAAGGAGA
rnacentral:lncRNA from 1 species